CCGGCCGGCUGGGAGACAGAGGACAAGGGAGCCCACUGAUGCUGCCCUGUGGGCUAGCCUCCCGGGACACCUAGCCGAGCGGAAGAAGCAAGGGGGAAGAGACGCGGAUGCUUCCUGUGUCCUUAGCCUGCGCCUGCCCUGAGCGAGUGAGAUCUGACUCUGAUGAGACAGGCCCUAACUUUUAGCUCUUCUUCGGUGCCACCAUCAUCCUACCCUCCCGGACUGAUUGUGACCGAAGGAGAAGCAAAGAUUAGAAAGUCAGCUGUUCAGAAGUCACACCUACACAUGAUGUUUGAAGAGAGACAGGGCAGAGAGGGGAAAGCUUGAACACAGGUAGUAUUGGAGAAAGCACAAGGCUCAGUCUCCUGAGCUAGGUUCCUACAAACACGCGCACAGACACACACGUACGCGGACCCAGCUGUGGUGCUCAGGGGAUCGACCACAAGCUACAAUCAACAAGGGUAGGAGAGCACGUCCUGCUAUUAGAACUUCUGCCCACAGGGCAAGGCGGCGGCUGCCUCUUCUGCUGACCACCUUCUCCAAAUCACAGACCAUCACACAAGGGGCCCCUGACGUGAUAGGAUGACCUGUUGCAUCCUUGGAGCCCCCAGUACAGAAACAGGAGAGGCCUGACCUCAGUAGCUUCAGAGGCCCACAUUCCCAGUCUGCCUCCAAGGGCACAGGACAAAGGUCAUCUGGGGGCCCAGGGCCAGGGUAAACUCUCACUGGGCAAUGCAUGCUUCUGUCCACAGUUGGAUGACCCCUAUAGACUGGGCAGCCUAACUCCCCUGUGGCCAGCAAUUAGGAUGACUUCCCGGCAGUGGGUCACUUGCCUCCCACCCUUGGCAGGCCAUCAGAAACACUGGCAUGAGGGUAAAUGGGUACAUGGCCUGGAGAGGGAAAUUUGGCCAUAUCUUUUAAAUUUGCAAAUGUGUAUACUGCAUGAUACAGUGAUUCUACAGGAAUUUAUUCUACAAAUACACUUACACACGUGUGAAAUGA